AGUUGAGCAACCUACCUUUGUUCUGCAGUUGCAGAUAAUAACAGGCAAGCCUCAAGACCAUGAGGAUUUGGAAAAGAUCAGGAGAGUUGAAGAAAGAAAAAAAAGCAGGGUGGGGAAAAGAAAAAGAAAUACCCCAAGUAGAGAAGAACUGGAAGAAACAACAGGAAAGCCUGCUAAUGACACUGCUGUGGCUGCCACAGAUCGGGGUGUUUUCUGCAGUGUUUAUACCACCCCCCACCCCGCCCGUACUCUAUACGGCCAGUGAAACAUCCCAGCAAAGGUCAGGGCCAGCCGAUGAGAAGGACAGCAAGUGUUGAGGGGGACCAGAGAGAGAACAGAUCCGGAAGGAGAGAAGCAGCGGACAGCCAGCCAGUCCAACACUGAGCAGGCUUCCCUAUAGGCUUCCUCUAGGUAAGAACAAGCGUUGCUGUGUAAAGCAGUUUACCGGAGAGAUCUGCCCAAACCAAAUGAGGGUGUUCAAACAGUAUCCAGUCCUUGGCAUAGAGGACCGGAGGACUGAACCAUAAUGCUGCCCACAAGAGCCCCAGAAAAGCAAGUCCCCAUACCAGGCCCAGAGGCAAAACAUGUUAGGCGCAAAAGGACACAGGCAAGCAAAUAAGUGAUAGAAAUCAUUAAAAAUGAAGCCGGGCUUCAUUUCAAUGAACAAAUGAAAUACACAUGGGCCUGGUAAAACUUCCCGAGCCCAGAGAGUUCUUCCUCAGCCUGGAUCCUCGGGGCUGGCCUCUAAACUGCCUCAGCUCUUAUCAGAUCCAUAUCAUACAGAAACCUAAACCGUCUGCAACUCAUGUUUUAUUAAAACAUGUUUAGCAUUCUUCUUAAAGAUAGGUUUUAACCCCAAAUACCCAUGAAAUUAAAUCUCCUAUGCCACUUAUCUGCACGGCUGGGCAAAAACUAAAGUUGAGCUAAACAGAGAUAGCAAAAUCAAUAAAUCACACCAAACAGUAGCAGUUCAAAAGUUCAAAGAUAUGAUGACCAGUUCAGUGCGUCUUAGCACUCACCAAUAAUAACUCGUCUCCGUCACUCUUCAUAGUAUAGACAAUUUCAUGGCAUCAUUUUCAUUAGCCUGUCUCAUGGAAAAUUGCUAGCUAUUUAUGUAUACGCUAAAAUAAAUUAGCCAUUUCAUUGAGCAGUGUGAUUCUUAUAAAAUACAUUAACACAAUACUCGAUUUUCCAGUUGGAGUAAAUAAAUAAAUCAAUACAUUGAAUACUGGGUGAUUCUUUUAUUGUGGUGCUACAGCUCUCAGCAUAAGUGUUUUUAUUGGGUUUAUUUGUUUCAAUAAAAAUUGAAAUGGGCCAGUGAUCUCAGUGCUAGCAUCUUUAAAAAAUAAAAUCUAUCCAAUAUUUGGAAAAGUACUGUGCAGAACAUUCAAACUUAUAAUUUUAUUCAGAAAUUAUUCUCAUUAUGUAUUAUUCUGCAAUCUAACUGAUGGGAGGUUUCACAAAGGGAAAGGGGGAAUCCGGCCAGGGUCUGAUUCCUCUGGCGUUUCUCUGUUCAGGACCCACCAUGGGGGAGACGCUUUUGAGAGACAGCAGUGCUUCACUGAGCUGUGACCUUUUGCCUGGAAUGCACUUCUCCCCUGCGCAGGAGAAAAGACAGUGGGACAAGUGCCAGAUGGCCUGCUCUGUCACACCUUAAGGAAUGUCAUUGAUGGUGGCACAGAGAAGGCCAUUUACUCCACCCUCUGGGGGAUAGACUGGGGUAUCAUGACUGCAAAGAAGGAGAGAGGUGCGCCGGUGCUGUAAAUAAAAUCAUGUACAAGGCCUGCCUGCCAGCAGCUCAGGAGAGGACAGCUACACAUCCACAGGCAGAAGAUUUUCCUCAACUCAGCAGCACAAUGAAAAGCAAAGGGAGAUACGGCUGUAGCUAUCAGUACAAUCUAUGCUCCCCUUCCUUCCUUUGAUGCCGACAGCCUGGUUUUUCUUUGGGGAAAUGCUCAUUCCCCACUCUCAGUCCAGGUUCUCACAGGAGGAGGACACAUCUCCCAUCUCAAGGGUGGAGUCAUUAGACAAAACUGACCAAUCCGUUCUUUCUGCUCUGCUGGCCUCACUGAUUGGCUGAUGGAUGGACAUGGCCCAAGCCAGACACAGGAUACUCAGCUACCAGUAUUCUGCACAAACCACUGUGAGUGAGGAAGACUGUCCUGCUGGCCCACUGAAGCUUCACAAGCAUUGAUGGGGGCUGCCUCCACAGAGCAAGAAGGCUGAACAGAGGCCAGAACACAGUAGCACAGAACAGAACACAAGUGCCCAGCGGAUUUCUAACAAUGCUUACAGAGGACGGACGGUCUUCCUCCUCCUAGACUGGUCAGCUACAUGGGCUAACUAAAUUCCCUUAUUUGCUUGACCAGAUGGAGCUGGCUUUAGGUCAUCUGCAACCACAAGGAGCAAAAUAGGAACUCAAAACAGUUCUCUAUAUGUAGCUCUCUAACUCUAUGAUAUAUGUUAGUUAGCCUUUAUGGGAACACAAAGCAAUCAAAUACACUUCUAGUGAUACUAUUCCAUACCUGUAGAAAUUUACAUGUCCUGUGAGACCUGUUUAUUGGCUAUAUUCUCUUGUCUGCUAAUAAGCCUGGAUCUACAGUGAGAAAGAACUCAGAUGAUCCCAAAGCAAACUCAACUAGAGGACUAAAAAUAUCCAACAUGAGGUCUAAUGCAGACUUAGGAAACUUCCUGUCUAGGUCCGCAGGGGCUGUGUCCAGGUCAAGCCAGUCAGCUCACACAACAGCCUCUGGCCUGCUGACCUCGCCUGUGGAGGGAGAUGACACCGGGCCUUUCAACUUGAUAUGGAGUGGCACGUGGGUACAAAGACAGACUGGAAGGCCCUUUUGUCUUAUGGCCACUGAUCACAAAAACCAGUGACAAGGUCUGCAAGGACAAAGGGCAGGGUAGGUCACUGAAAACUGGCCAGCACACACAAACUUGCUGGCCCACAAUACUUCUGAAUUCUUUUUUUUUUUUUUUCAGAGCUUCCACAGAUGCUGGGAAGCCAAGAGAAGCCAGACAGAAUGGUCUAACUUAACUGUGGGGGGAAAAGUCAUGAGAUAAGGGGUGGGGUCACUUGGGGGAGACAGCUUGGCAGCAAGCUAUAAACAGUCACACUGACAGUGGGAGCCUUAGCACAGCACGACUCAACUUUUACACGCUCCUCACUGUGCUCCUCUCAGCACAGUGCAACAGUGAGUACCUACCACCCUCCUGCCUCACUCAGGAGACAAAAGCACAGACAGGGAUGUACGUCACUGAGGGCCACACAGCUGCAAGGAAUAGCGACAGGGUCCGAAUCCUGGCUAAGUCCGCCUCCUCUCAUAUUGCGAGUCUAUAUGUGUAUGUAUAUGUGUGCAUACUGUACAAAGCAAUCUACAGGUGGUAUAGAACACAAAUAAACAUGUGCGUGUAUUAUAGAAAAUCAAUGAAUAAUAAACACAUCUACACAUGAA